GACGAACGCUGGCGGCGUGCUUAACACAUGCAAGUCGAACGGAAAGGCCCUGCUUUUGUGCGGUGCUCGAGUGGCGAACGGGUGAGUAACACGUGAGUAACCUGUCCUUGACUUUGGGAUAACUUCAGGAAGCUGGGGCUAAUACCGGAUAGGAGCUCCUGCUGCAUGGUGGGGGUUGGAUAGUUUCGGCGGUUGGGGAUGGACUGGCGGCUUAUCAGCUUGUUGGAUGGGUAGUGUAUUACCAGGGCUUGGCGGGGUAGCCGGCCUGGGAGGGUCACCGGCCACACUAGGACUGAGAUACGGCACAGACCCCUACGGGAGGCAACAGUGGGGAAGAGUGCACAAGGGGCGGAAGCCUGAUGCAGCAACGCCGCGUGCGGGAUGACGGCCAGCGGGUUGUAAACCGCUGUCGCCUGUGACGAAGCGUGAGUGACGGUAAUGGGUAAAGAAGCACCGGCUAACUACGUG
rnacentral:rRNA from 1 species